rnacentral:lncRNA from 1 species
AAAAUGUUAAUAAUAGAAAUAUAUCAACAUUAAAAAUAAUAAUAAAUUUUUUUUAUUUUCAAACAAACAAUUUCUAUCCCAUUUAUUUUUAACAUCUUUUUUAUUUGUUCAUCACCACUACAAGAGAUUGUUUGCUUAAUAAUAUAGAAAGUUUAUUUAUUCCAUAGGGUGCAUAAUAAUAAUAAUACGUUUCUGCAUGUUCAAGCAGCUGGUGAUUGUGUAAUUGCACCCACCAUGUCUAGUGCUACACAGGGUUGAUCAACAGGUACCUGUAGCAGUCACCAACCAAAUAAAACAUUAUAAUUUCAUACUAUUUUAUUUUCUUUUAUCUUUCUACUUAUUUCCUCAACUACUUUUUUAUUUUUGUAUAAAUAUAUGUCAGUAUACAUAUAUACCAUUAUGCAGGUUUUUAGUAAGAUAUAUUAAUAAAAAAAUAAUUUAUAUCAUACUUUAUAGUUACAGUUUUUAAAAAGAAAAUAUAAAAAUUAUUAAGUUUAACCAAUACAUAGAUGCUUACUUAAUUUUCUUGAUGAACCAUAAAGAGUAUAUUCCUUAGUGUCUCUCUCACACACACAACUAGUUUAUUUUUCCAAUUAUAAAUGUAAAUAAUAAAUUAUUAAAGUAAAAUAGACUUCUUAUAUCUAAGAUGAGCACUCAUGAUCAUAGAUUAAAAAAAUCAGCAUUUAUUAUUAUAUAUAAAUAAAUAAUAAAAAUAUGUUAAAAUAUCCAGUAUUGUUAUGUUAUUAACUACUAAAAUUACUCACUUUAUUUUUUUUAAUUAUAUAAUAAGUAAAUCUUAAAAUGUGAAGGUUCACUCUGAAUUUAGAUUCUUUAUUGCAGUUUGGUACUGUCAUUUUCUUAUACUUCAAAAUACACUAAUGUAUAUUAUUUUAAUGGUUUAAAAUAUUUUUAAAAAAAAAUUAAGAUAUCAAUAUCACUGUAUUUUGAAGAUUUUAACAAAGAAUCAGUACCAUAAAAAUAUCAGAAAACUUCAACUGAGUUCACCUCACACCAAA